UGAACUGGACUGAUUCCAUAGUUCCUGCUUACUGAUUACUGAUUACUGAUUACUGAACUGAUUCCAUAGUUCCUGCUUUGUGUACUGAACUGGAUUUUUUUGUUUGUUGCUUUGUGCAUGCAAUUAUCCACACGAGAACAUAACAUUCAAGAUAGAUGAGAGUAGCAGCAACCCUAAUUACUUGGCAUUUGUGAUUUGGUAUCAACAGGGAAUUAGAGACAUAACUGCUGUCCAGCUUUGUGAGACUGAGAAUUUUGAGUGCAAGCUGCUAGAUCGGAGCCAUGGUGCAGUGUGGAGUAGCACCUGCGGCAUUGAUGGCAUUGAUUAGUUGAUUAGUUGAUUAGUGUUCAUGAGAGCAUGCAUGUUCAAUAACCAUUAUAGAGUUUCCAUAUCACAUGCGUAUUUGUUGUCUGCAUAAGUUGUAAACUUGUAAUAUGAAAUGAAAUUUUGGCAAGAGACAACUUCUUUGGAUGUUUGGUGCCAUUGAUUUAUAUGGCUCUGUUUGGUGAUGUCCGUUUUAGAUGCAUGAACAGGAACCUUGGAUGGUAUUUUUCCGCAGAAUGUAUUUAUAUUUUUUUUAUUUU